UAGGGAAUCUUCGGCAAUGGGGGGAACCCUGACCGAGCAACGCCGCGUGAGUGAAGAAGGUUUUCGGAUCGUAAAGCUCUGUUGUUAAGGAAGAACGAGUGUGAGAAUGGAAAGUUCAUGCUGUGACGGUACUUAACCAGAAAGGGACGGCUAACUACGUGCCAGCAGCCGCGGUAAUACGUAGGUCCCGAGCGUUGUCCGGAUUUAUUGGGCGUAAAGCGAGCGCAGGCGGUUAGAAAAGUCUGAAGUGAAAGGCAGUGGCUCAACCAUUGUAGGCUUUGGAAACUGUUUAACUUGAGUGCAGAAGGGGAGAGUGGAAUUCCAUGUGUAGCGGUGAAAUGCGUAGAUAUAUGGAGGAACACCGGUGGCGAAAGCGGCUCUCUGGUCUGUAACUGACGCUGAGGCUCGAAAGAGUGGGGAGCGAACAGG
rnacentral:rRNA from 1 species